rnacentral:rRNA from 1 species
UACGGAGGGUGCAAGCGUUAUCCGGAUUCACUGGGUUUAAAGGGUGCGUAGGUGGGCAGGUAAGUCAGUGGUGAAAUCUCCGGGCUUAACCCGGAAACUGCCAUUGAUACUAUCUGUCUUGAAUACCGUGGAGGUGAGCGGAAUAUGUCAUGUAGCGGUGAAAUGCUUAGAUAUGACAUAGAACACCAAUUGCGAAGGCAGCUCACUACGCGAAUAUUGACACUGGAGGCACGAAAGCGUGGGGAUCAAACAGG